GGAAAGGAAAUGAUGCGUAGAGGGUCGUAGUUAGCAACGCUCCGGCUGAGUUUCAUAUCAGCACAACCAGAAGCCGUGAGGAGUCCUGCUGCAUCAUCCACACAUCACACAAAAGACCCAACUGCAUCACUUCCUGCCGGCUGGACUGCAUCCUGAAAUGUGAGCCAGCAAAGGGUUCGACUAACUCCCACUUCCACCCUGAGACGUACACGGCAUCGGGGCAUCCAGAAGCCAAGAUAUGAGCAACGCCCUGAAAACUCGCACUAUUAUUUUUAAAGACUCUCUGCUGCGUCUGAGCAUAUUUAACACGUUUUGACACAGCUGAGCCUCUUUGUUCUCUAACAGCUGGAGUACAGAGAGACAGUACGUUCUCCAUUAGGUGCUUUAAUUAACCAAUAUGGGAGAAUACAGACCAAAAAUGGACAUUUGCUGAACAGAACAACACAGUCAGAACAUUAAUGCAGCUAAAAAAGUACAAAAAAUACAUGCAUUUUGUAAGAUGGGGGAAAAAAACCCUUCUUGUAAAUAUGUCUUGUAAAUAUGUUCUACCCUGAGUUUUAGCUUCAUCAGGUUAAAAGUUAGCAAAAUUCUCCAAUUAAGUAACUUUUGUUAUCCAAUUAUUAAACACGUAAUCCAAAAAAAUAAUCAGCAAAUUAGCGCUAAGUAAUGUUAAAUCAAACAGAGAAAGUUUUUCCACAUGUUCAUGUUAGAAGGAUUUUCACUGCAUCCAAUGAUCAAGCGUUCACUAAAGGAGUUUAAUAGUUUAUUAGCAUCUUGUAAUGUAUAAAAUGACAAAUCUGCUGAAUAUACCAAUUUUUUUUAUCUGAGUUGCAGCUCUAAAUAUUUACAAACAUUUAUUACACAAAGUUGGACAGUAGUUCAAAAUAAAGCAAACUAUUGCAUUUUAAUCAGAUUAUCUUGUUGCAAAGUAGUCAAGCUUUUUCUUCACUAGGGGUUACGAUUUCCAGCUUGGCUUGUAAAUGUUCACUCUGGAUUCAAUGAACAUGUGAGAGCCAAGAAGCUGAGCUACAGGCCAGCACCGGAAGACAAAUCAAGCUGAUUUGAUCUGGUGUAAAUUAAAGAAAAGGAAUCCACAUCUGCUCAUCACAUUUGAAGCUACGCAACAUUUCUUCCCUUUAUUUUUUUCAGCAUGACUGUCCAACUAACUUGUCUUGCAUGUGUAACGUGAGACAAUGUGUUAUAGUACAUUUAAAUAACCUCAAUGGGUUUUGACAAUACUGAAGCUUUCCAGGUUAUUUCCAGGGUAGGGAGUCUCUGGCCGGUCCAGCCCGCUCUCCUCUGGCGUCUUUCCCUGUGGACGGACGCCAAACUCAACCUACAUUGGUUGUAAAUGAGAUCUGCUAUUGCACAGUUCACAGAUGGAGGCUUUCAUCCUGUUUUAAUUAGUGUAAAUCCUGAAAUUCAUUUAAGAAGAGAGCUAUGUGCUUCUUACAACAGAAAUGUAUAUUUAAGCGCAUUAUUAGUAAGACCUAGAAAACCUACGGUUUCAAUACGCCUAGAAGCUUUUUGGAUGUUUGCACACCUGAAAUCUGGUAAAACUGCAACAUUUGUUACAUUUUUAGCUGGUAUGGUUCGCUUUCACACUGCACUGUGUCAAAUGAACUAAAUUCUUUGAAAAACCUGUUCCCCUCCUCGCCUGUGGUGGCGCUGCGCCAACAACCACUGAUGGAAACGAC